GCGGGUCUGGCUGCGAGAGACCAUGGGGGCUCAGCUAAGCGGCGGCCGCGGCGCCCCGGAGCCUGCGCAAACCCAGCCCCAGCCCCAGCCCCAGCCUGCGGCGCCGGAGGGCCCGGAACAGCCCCGGCAUCCGCCCCAGCCCCAGCCCCAGCCCCAGCCCCAGCCCCAGCCCGAGCCCAGCCCGUGGGGGCCGCUGGACGACGUGCGCUUCCUCAUCGCCUGCACUUCCUGGUACUGACGGCGUCCUCCGCAGGAUGUCGCCCGUCUGUCCGCCGUCCCCUGUGGUUCUUGCCUGCCUUGUCUCCUCUCCCCACGUCCCUGCGUCUCUUACACCCCCUCCCACCCGAGGCUCCCCAGAGAUAGCAGAGAAUUCGAAGAGGUCGCCGGGGACUGGAAAGAAGUCCCGGCAGGGCCGCCUUCGCAGUCUACACCCCAGCCUGCUUCCCAGCCUACACCCAGACCCAGCUCAGACCUUCGUGACCACCCCAUCCCUUUCUCCGGCUGGCUGGGUCGGGGGCAUCCCUCUCUGUCGCUGGCUUCCAGAGGCAGGACAGGCCUCCUGGUCAUGUCCCAGGUCAUGGAGAAGCCCGUGCCACAGUGACCCUCCCCAUACUCCUGGGGGGGCUGCUCUCCAUCCUGGAUCGUAAGGAGGCAUCAUCAGGCUGUGUUCCUGGAACCCCAAUAACCCUGGGCCCCCAGGGCCAGCCUGUUGUAGAGGGAGGCUAUCUGACCGCCGGUCUGGCAGAGGAGAUGGGUGGGCAGCUCCCAGACACCCCAAAGGACCCGGUUCUCUUCCCAGAGCGUCCUAAGGUUACUCUUGGAACCUGAUCUUUGUUCCCUCAUCCCAGGGAAAUGACACACUCUGUAUUUCUGUUUUAUUUAGAAAUGAUUUAAAAAACAUUAUACAAAGGCUGAUCAGUUUAAAAUGUGACUGACACUGAAAUGCUGUGAUGUCCCCCAGGCUGAGGGGAAGCUAGGCUCUGGGGCCCCCAGUGCUUUGCCCCUCUGUCUGCCCUGUCCUGGGGUGAUGGACAAACAGAUGACCACAGGCAGGAGAAUCUGAGAUUGGAAGCCUCUAGGCUGAGCCCUCUGGGCCUGGCCCCACAUCCCUCACCUCUGCAGCCUGGGCUGCCUGCCUCCAUCUCCUGUUCAUUCUCAGCUGGCCUGCCAGGAGCCAAUGGGGAGCCUGGCGGGAGGCGGGGGUGCCUAGAGCUUUCAAGAAGUGAGAGCACCAACCUGAGGAGUGGACAGGGACCAGGAAGUGGGGGAAGGGAGGCCAGGAAGAGGUGGAUACAGGAGACACUUCUCAUCUCAUCUCAGACCCUAGAGGGGUCCACAGAUGGGGACACAAGACCCAGCCAGCCCACUGGAUGGCCCGGGCAAGUAACAACCUCUCUGUGCUUCAUCUGAGGGCACGGUGAGAGUUACCGUCGGCCUCCCAGGGCCUAACACGAGUUUCAUGUGAGUGGACAGGUGUGAGCUAAUAAAGUGCUUUGCAAAGUAUAAAACACUGUACAAACCUAUGAAUCACUAAUAUCUCCGCAGUUGUUCCCUGCCUGUCCCAGGGAGCCUGCCCUUGGCCAAAAUGAGAAAAAACAAGGAUGAUGACAGGGGACACAGCGGACCCACAUGGGCACCUCUGGG
rnacentral:lncRNA from 1 species